GAUGAACGCUGGCGGCGUGCCUAAUACAUGCAAGUCGAACGAAACUUCUUUAUCACCGAGUGCUUGCACUCACCGAUAAAGAGUUGAGUGGCGAACGGGUGAGUAACACGUGGGCAACCUGCCCAAAAGAGGGGGAUAACACUUGGAAACAGGUGCUAAUACCGCAUAACCAUAGUUACCGCAUGGUAACUAUGUAAAAGGUGGCUAUACUACCGCUUUUGGAUGGGCCCGCGGCGCAUUAGCUAGUUGGUAGGGUAAAGGCUUACCAAGGCAAUGAUGCGUAGCCGAAUUGAGAGGUUGAUCGGCCACAUUGGGACUGAGACACGGCCCAAACUCCUGCGGGAGGCAGCAGUAGGGAAUCUUCCACAAUGGGCGAAAGCCUGAUGGAGCAACGCCGCGUGGGUGAAGAAGGUCUUCGGAUCGUAAAACCCUGUUGUUAGAGAAGAAAGUGCGUGAGAGUAACUGUUCACGUUUCGACGGUAUCUAACCAGAAAGCCACUGCUAACUACGUG
rnacentral:rRNA from 1 species